GGGGCCGUAGCUCAGUGGUAGAGUGUGUGCUUGGCCUGCACGAGGUCCUAAGUUAAAUCCCCGGUGCCUCCA
rnacentral:tRNA from 1 species